UUUCCGUAGGUGAACCUGCGGAGGGAUCAUUACAAGUGACCCCGGUCUAACCACCGGGAUGUUCAUAACCCUUUGUUGUCCGACUCUGUUGCCUCCGGGGCGACCCUGCCUUCGGGCGGGGGCUCCGGGUGGACACUUCAAACUCUUGCGUAACUUUGCAGUCUGAGUAAACUUAAUUAAUAAAUUAAAACUUUUAACAACGGAUCUCUUGGUUCUGGCAUCGAUGAAGAACGCAGCGAAAUGCGAUAAGUAAUGUGAAUUGCAGAAUUCAGUGAAUCAUCGAAUCUUUGAACGCACAUUGCGCCCCCUGGUAUUCCGGGGGGCAUGCCUGUUCGAGCGUCAUUUCACCACUCAAGCCUCGCUUGGUAUUGGGCAACGCGGUCCGCCGCGUGCCUCAAAUCGACCGGCUGGGUCUUCUGUCCCCUAAGCGUUGUGGAAACUAUUCGCUAAAGGGUGUUCGGGAGGCUACGCCGUAAAACAACCCCAUUUCUAAGGCGACCUCGGAU
rnacentral:sRNA from 1 species